UCGGAGUGUGUGCGUUUGCUUUCCAAUGAUAGAAAAUAAAAAGUGAUGCCAUGGGCCAAAAUGCAAUAUUUUGUUUUACUUUGAUAGUGCCGUUUGCUGGUGGUGUCGCUGAAUGGAGAAAAUUUCUAGAAAAGUUCAAAAAGAGUAAUGCAGUUUUAUGUAUAAUUGAUCAGUUUAUGUUGAAUAACUGGGUUGGUGGAAGCACCGGGUUGAUUUCGAUUUGCGCUGGUGUUUACAUACAAGGAACAGGGUGGCCAACUGCAACGCCAACUUAGAACUUGUGGUCAUUGCGACAGUAUAUGGGAAUGCAUAAAAAAAGGAGCCGCACAUAUUAGAACUCGAGCAGUGUUGUGAAAUCUGCAUGCCUAAAAUCAAAACCUUUUGCUUGAAGACCGCACGCAGUGCCUAUAUCUAGCAAGAGCAGCUCACAGUAGUUUCACAUCAUUAUUAUUUUUGAUCUUCAAAAUCAAAAACGCAAAUUAUGACAACAAAGAAAGAAAAGAAAAACACGAGCAUCCCUCUCCGUUUUGUGGCAUCUCAAUCUGCGCUUUUGCUUUUUAAAGCUAUGUUUCACUAAAUAUAUCCCUCAAGAGGUACUUCAAAGCUAUUAAUGUCAAGUUAGCCUGAUAUACAGGCUUGUUUAUUGGCACUUGAUCUUCUAUUUGGAGCUUCGUGAUGCCCUAUGGAAUAAAGUGACAAUUAGUCUGAAAAUGAGCAUUACGUGCAGCCAGAGCACAGCUACUCCGCAACCUCUAGCACAAAAUAUGUUAACCUGUCAGUCAUCUAGAACCAGUCACAGUGUUCGGUUUAAGCCCGAAAGUGACUAUGCAGGAAUAGAGAAGUGUAGGAACGUCACGAACACACGCCACUUGACCAGACACUCUCAGUCAAAACAUUGCCAGCAGUCAAUGACUUGGGC